UACGGAGGAUGCAAGUGUUAUCCGGAAUCACUGGGCGUAAAGCGUGCGUAGGCGGCGCAGUAAGUCAGACGUGAAAGCCCUCGGCUCAACCGAGGAAUUGCGUUUGAAACUACUGUGCUAGAGUCUCGGAGAGGUUGGCGGAAUUCCAGGUGUAGGAGUGAAAUCCGUAGAUAUCUGGAGGAACACCGGUGUCGAAGGCGGCCAACUGGACGAGUACUGACGCUGAGGUACGAAAGCGUGGGGAGCAAACAGG
rnacentral:rRNA from 1 species